rnacentral:lncRNA from 1 species
CAGGAAGCACUCACAAGGUCUAAGUGGGUCUGAUUUUGCUUUUGAAAGUAGUAGGAGAGGAAAGAGACUUGAUUACCUAACAGCUGUUCAAGAAUCCGAUUUUCUGGAUAUUGGCAUGUUAUUUUCAAUGGCCAGCUACAUUCGGUGGUCAUCUAUCAAAAUACUAGCUUCGCUUACUGUCAACGAAGUCAGGAAGCCGUAA